rnacentral:misc_RNA from 1 species
CCAGCAAGUGGGUGAUAGAGG